ensembl:lncRNA
AUGUAUUUACAACACUGUUCCAGAACAGUUCAACUCAAAUAUUCAGAUGUGUGCAGAGCAUUUUGCAGAGGACAAGGACUGUUUCCUGAGAGAGUAGCCUACAAUGCCGGUGUCUGUUUCUAUAAAGUGGGGCAAUUCCAACUUUGCAAGGACAGUCUGGCGCUUCUGACUCACAGCCUCCCUCUGAUUAUUGCAACCAUGUGGAGAGGACGGCUGCACUAUGAGCUGCAAAGCUGGUACAAAUGGAGAACUAAGCCACAGCCUCAAUAUAUUCUCACCUGACUGUGAUCUCACAUUCAACUCUGUGACUGAAAAAUCUACUCCGGUAUGUUGAGGAAAUGUGGCCAGCCGGCAAUGGUAUGCCAAAGUUAAAAGGUGUGCAAAUUAUGAGUUUGACAGUUAUGUGGUCGAAUAUAUUUCAUUUUCAUCCCUUUAUCUUUCAUGCAAGACACAGGCCUCAUCGCGGCAGGGGCUGAGAGGCAUCGACAGAGGGAAGCUGAGUGACUCUCCAUCCAAAUGACCCGAAAGACACCCCAUCAUCACCCAGCCGAAGAUCGCUUUCCUAAAACGAGCCUAAAUGGAGGUAUUGCUGUAACGGCUGUGAUAUUUUUGACAUUUAUGGGCUCUAUAACAAGGAGCGGAUUGAGUGAUGGUGCGGUGGCUGGCUGAGAGGCCGAAGGGGGAGUUUGUGUGUACGGGGGCUGUACAAAGCCGUGUCAAACCACACCACAUACCAUCACCAACGGGAGAAUGAGAAAUCCAUUUGGAUUGUUGACAUUGAACUUUAUGAACCAGACAAAGCAAUAUUUCAGAUUUUUCUCCUUCUGGCUGUCUCCUUCUCACUCCUGUGUUACUCCUACUUCUUUCUGGAGUAACCUGGGACUCAUAAUCAACUGUUUCAAAGGAAAAACUGAGUUGAUGUCUGACAGGUGAUCGCUGGUUGUCGUUUGAAAGCAGAAAGUAUCUUGAAAAAAUAUUGCUUCAAAAACCAAUGAUGUUACGAUGAUAAAAAAACAACAGGGAAAUAUGAUAUAAAAUAAUAAUAUAACUUAUGAUGCUUUUAUUUUGCACACACACACACACACACACACACACACACAAAUAACAUUUAAAAUGCCUUUGGGAACACUUGAGCAAUUUAUCAGUGUUUAAAAGGUAAGUGAAAAAAACUAUGCAAAUAUGCGUUUAAAUAUGUCUUUUAAAAAUAUGUCUUUCAUAAUUUACUCACCCCCAUGCCAUCCAAGAUGUUCAUGUCUUUCUUUUUUCAACUGAAAAGAAAUUAAAGUUUUUGAGGAAAACAUUCCAGGAUUUUUCUCCAUAUAGUGGACCUCAAUUAGAGCCAAUGGGUUGAAUGUCCAAACUGCAGUUUCAAUGUAGCUUCAAAGGGCUCUACAUGAUCCCAGCUGAGGAUAAGGGUCUUAUUUAGCCAAAAGACUGGUCGUUUUCUUUAAAAAUAAAUAAAUAAAAAUUUAUACA